rnacentral:rRNA from 1 species
AUUGAACGCUGGCGGCAGGCCUAACACAUGCAAGUCGGACGGUAGCACAGGGGAGCUUGCUCCUCGGGUGACGAGUGGCGGACGGGUGAGUAAUGUCUGGGGAUCUGCCCGAUAGAGGGGGAUCACAAAGGGACACGGUGGCCAAUACCGCAUAAUGUCGCAAGACCAAAGAGGGGGACCUUCGGGCCUCACACUAUCGGAUGAACCCAGAUGGGAGUAGCUGGUAGGCGGGGUAACGGCCCACCUAGGCGCCGAUCCAUAGCUGGUCUGAGAGGAUGACCAGCCACACUGGAACUGAGACACGGUCCAGACUCCUACGGGAGGCAGCAGUGGGGAAUAUUGCACAAUGGGCGCAAGCCUGAUGCAGCCAAGCCGCGCGUAUGAAGAAGGCCUUCGGGUUGUAAAGUACUUUCAGCGGGGAGGAAGGCGAUGUGGUUAAUAACCGCGUCGAUUGACGUUACCCGCAGAAGAAGCACCGGCUAACUCCGUGCCAGCCGCCGCGGUAA